rnacentral:rRNA from 1 species
ACGCGUAGGCGGUUUGUACAGUCAGAAGUGAAAUUCCUGGGCUCAACCUGGGACUGCUUUUGAUACGUGCAGACUUGAGUGAGGAAGAGGGUUGUGGAAUUUCCAGUGUAGAGGUGAAAUUCGUAGAUAUUGGAAAGAACACCGGUGGCGAAGGCGGCAACCUGGUCCUUUACUGACGCUGAGGCGCGAAAGCGUGGGGAGCAAACAGGAUUAGAUACCCUGGUAGUCCACGCUGUAAACGAUGUGUGCUGGAUGUUGGGGGACUUAGUUUCUCAGUGUCGUAGCUAACGCGAUAAGCACACCGCCUGGGGAGUACGGCCGCAAGGUUGAA